rnacentral:rRNA from 1 species
ACGGGGAUGAUGCCCUAGUAACGGCGAGUGAAGCGGCAACAGCUCAAAUUUGAAAGCUGGCCUUCGGGUCCGCAUUGUAAUUUGUAGAGGAUGCUUUGGGUGAAACGCCAGUCUAAGUUCCUUGGAACAGGACGUCAUAGAGGGUGAGAAUCCCGUAUGUGACUGGAAAUGUUAACCUAUGUAAAGCUCCUUCGACGAGUCGAGUUGUUUGGGAAUGCAGCUCUAAAUGGGAGGUAAAUUUCUUCUAAAGCUAAAUAUUGGCGAGAGACCGAUAGCGCACAAGUAGAGUGAUCGAAAGAUGAAAAGCACUUUGGAAAGAGAGUUAAAAAGCACGUGAAAUUGUUGAAAGGGAAGCGCUUGCAAUCAGACUUGUUUAAACUGUUCGGCCGGUCUUCUGACCGGUUUACUCAGUUUGGACAGGCCAGCAUCAGUUUCGGCGGCCGGAUAAAGGCUCUGGGAAUGUGGCCUUCACUUCGGUGAAGGUGUUAUAGCCCAGGGUGUAAUACGGCCAGCCGGGACUGAGGUCCGCGCUUCGGCUAGGAUGCUGGCGUAGCUGGU